UUUAGUCGUUUAGUAAAUCGUUCGAUCAAAUUAGAAUGUCGAACGUCGAGUUUAUGAUGUACCAGACGAUUCGUAGGACGCAGAGGGACGUUAUUGUACGAGGUAAUUCGCGCUUUAUCAAUGGUCAAACUAGCUCGAAAUGAUUUUCCGCGUAACAAAAGAAAAAAUCUUUUGCGUUUGUUUUCUGAAGAAAGGAAGAGAAGAUUACGCCACGCGGAGAUGACAUAUCCUUUGAGCGUACGCUCGAAAGGCGGAAUAAGUUUGAAACAUUCGAAUGAAUAUCUUGGCUCUUAUGAGGUCGAUGAAAUCGAUCGGAAAUGCGUCUUCGUAUAAGUUGAUUGACGAUUCCUUGAUUGGAAGAUUACAAGCCUCAAGAAGGAAAAAGUUAACAAAGAAAUAAUUACAUAAUUCCAACGGAUUAUAAAGUUAAAGUAAUUAACCUGUGUAACCGGGGAAUGGUUAUGGUUGCAUGGAUUUUCAAUAAUCUUCCGAGAAGGAAAAAAAAUAAAAUGGGCCGUUCCAGUGAAGAAAUUACGGAAGGUUUGGCAGUACGGAUAGAACGUGUUAAAAAUGGUAAAAGACAGGAGGCAUUCAGCGAAAUCCUUUGUCUGUUGUAAGCCAGUUUCAAAAUUUUAAUUCAAGGAUGCUCCGACUUAUGGACGUAAUUUCCAAUUAUUCGAAUGGAAACAUCGAAUACAUAAAGAAAAAAGAAAUUAACAAAACACGUUCCCUAAAUGAAAGAGAUAACGAGUUACGAUAUGACUUAAACGUUGACUCGCGCGAGAAUUUCCACAAUCGAAAUUGUCACAUCGCAAAAAAAAAUUUGUUUGUUUGUGGAAGAAAUACUUGGAUCAAAGUUUCUGCUCUUGUAUCAGAAUCUCAUCCCAAUUCUGUCGUUGAUACGAGAUUUGAAAGGUUUUUGAGAAGAUAAUAUUCACGUCAAGGUAUUCUUGAGGAAUUUAGAAGGAUAUUUGUAAAAACAUCAAAAUACCUUGGAAUGGUAAUAAUUAACAGUCUCCUUUUGUAAUUAAUUAGGGUGGUUAUAAAAGUUUAUUUCGAGAUAUAA